rnacentral:rRNA from 1 species
GAUGAACGCUGGCGGCGUGCCUAAUACAUGCAAGUCGAGCGAACGGACGAGAAGCUUGCUUCUCUGAUGUUAGCGGCGGACGGGUGAGUAACACGUGGAUAACCUACCUAUAAGACUGGGAUAACUUCGGGAAGCCGGAGCUAAUACCUGAUAAUAUUUUGAACCGCAUGGUUCAAAAGUGAAAGACGGUCUUGCUGUCACUUAUAGAUGGAUCCGCGCUGCAUUAGCUAGUUGGUAAGGUAACGGCUUACCAAGGCAACGAUGCAUAGCCGACCUGAGAGGGUGAUCGGCCACACUGGAACUGAGACACGGUCCAGACUCCUACGGGAGGCAGCAGUAGGGAAUCUUCCGCAAUGGGCGAAAGCCUGACGGAGCAACGCCGCGUGAGUGAUGAAGGUCUUCGGAUCGUAAAACUCUGUUAUUAGGGAAGAACAUAUGUGUAAGUAACUGUGCACAUCUUGACGGUACCUAAUCAGAAAGCCACGGCUAACUACGUG